rnacentral:rRNA from 1 species
CAUGUAGGCGGCAUGACAAGUCUGGUGUGAAAUAUCUCGGCUCAACCGAGAAAACGCACUGGAAACUGUCAAGCUUGAGUAUCGGAGGGGAAGCUAGAAUUCCUGGUGUAGGGGUGAAAUCUGUAGAUAUCAGGAAGAAUACCGGUGGCGAAGGCGAGCUUCUGGCCAGAUACCGACGCUGAGAUGCGAAAGCGUGGGGAGCGAACAGGAUUAGAUACCCUGGUAGUCC